GAGCUGAAAAGGAUAAAUUCAUUGAUACAAUAUUCCUUUUGUCCAAGGGGGGUUUCAAUUCCCCAUUCGUAAGCUCGUCCAUAUAGAAAUCUGAGCAUUAAAUCGCCAGCAGUCGAUGAUAGUGAGACACGAUUUCAAUGGAAUUCACAAGAGCGUAAAGGGAUGGACGAGGAUUUUGAACGUGGGUGGGAAUGUGUUAUGGAUUCUGAUUGUGCAAUCAAUUAACGUCACAGUGGCGACGUGGGCAUGAAAUUAAUAUGGAGAGAAGCCAGGACAUGGCCCGAAGUUAAGCUGAGGAUUUUAUGCAAGAGAGACAGAAAAAGCGAGUAAGACCUGCUGAUGUAAUAAAGUCGUGUUAUUUUAAUAUUCUCUUCCGUAAAUAAAAUAUGUACUAUAUAUGCUA